rnacentral:misc_RNA from 1 species
AACCUUAUGGACCUGCGGGCGUAUACCUGCGGAGGGAUCAUUACCUUUUCCAACACGAGAUCCGUCCCCGGGGGGAGGCAACCCCUUCCCGGGCGGCGGUCCCGCGUUUCCACCCUCUUUUACGAGCACCUUUCCUUCUUCCUCGGCGGGGCGACCCGCCGGCGGAACCAACCACGAACCCUUUAUUGCAUCGAAAGAAGUACUGUUCUGAUAAACCAAAAUCGUUACAACUUUUAGCAA